CACGCAGAUCCUGGCUGCAGAAGCUCUACUUGGCCACGGGAUGGGGCUCUCCACACACAAGUGACAUCCCUCCGCACACAAGUGACAUCCCAAAGCCGCCGUGCCCACGGAGCGCUCCCCAGGCAGGGGCGGCCCCACAGCCGGGAGGGGACGGGGAGCGAUGCAGGCCUGCAAGAGGCAAAAACAGUGCAGAGAGACCUGCUUGCAUUUAAUCCUUCAAAACAGGGCUCAUCUAUUAGAGUUUGUGUUAGCCACAGAGAAGUGAACAGGGUGGUGACACUGAAAGUAUGUACUACAUGUGUUCGUGUGGCCCAAAGCAACACCUCACACCUGCGAAUAUCUAGGAACUCACCAAAAGGGAUCAAAAGCAGAAGAACCAUAAAUAGCUCAGAACAGUACAGUAUACCACUCUGAUUUGGAUUUUCUGAAAGCUCUCUUGCCAGCUUUGUGUGCCAGCUCCUCCAGCUUUCUGUGGUAGAGGUUCCCUGAGACAUCCCUACUAAAUGCAAUGCAUGGACCAUGGAAUUUUGCUUCUUUUCAAGGAGCCUGGGAAAAUGUGGAAGUGAGAAAAGUGGGCUUAUGUGUCUCCUCUCUGUAACAGACAGAACCACAAGAAAUCUGCACCUUGGAAUCCUUGAUAUCCACCUACUCAUACAAACAGCCAGUCAACCAGUCUGGAUUCAGUAAAUCCCUAUGCAAGUGUGAAACCAGCUGUUCUGAUACUGGGGGAGAAAAAACCAUUCUGAAAUAUGAGUUGGAAUGAGAGUUCAUUCCUGCAUAUUCUGCCUGAGAUUUUCCACAUACUCUAAGCCACCUUUUCCCUCCCAUGUUAGUGAUCUCUCUCAGCUCUGUGUCACCUAUAAGGCUUCCCUUCUUAGAUGAGACUAUUAAAAAUAAUCAGGGAAACCCUCUACAAGUUCCUCUCUAAUUCCUGUUAAUUGUAUUAGUGUGUAACCUGGAUGUGGUUUGCUUUACUGAAAGCAAAGGUGAGCAGAUAUUUUUAUUUAUAUAUAUUUAUAUUCUGCAUGGAUAUAUGCCAUCUGCUACAUCAACAAGCAAACUGCUUCAACUACUUCAUGGCUACAUUCAUUGUUCAUUUUCACAACUUUAGGAUACAGCUCAGAGGGUGAGCCAGUCCAGGAGCUGGAUCUCAGCUUCAUUCCACCUCCUUUUUAGAGUGGCCUGUGAGGCUGCAGUGGCACCUCCAAGCAUGAAAGGAGCAGGUCAUGUGCCUGUGGAUCAGAAGUGUCCCAUGGUCCAUGAACACAGCUGCAACCUGGCAGCUUUUUUCCAUCUUCUCCAAAGCAGAAUUUACAAUCUGGUUUUGACAGCCUGACACAAGUUUGGGAGAGACAAAAUAUAGACACCUGUGCCUGACUUUAACCCCAGAAAGAAGUCUGGAAUGACAAUGUACAGAAAGACAGCCUUUCAGGACAUGAUUUGUGUUAUCUAAAAGAUGUGGGAGUUGCUGACUGAAAAAAGCAGUUAAGGAUGAGCUUGGCUCAGAUGCAGAUAAAGCACUGUAAUUACUGAAGAUGAGUUCCUCUUCAUUUCUUGCACUUUCUUUUUGCAUUUCUUGCAUUUCUUUUUGAAAACCAGGGAGCUAAACAGAGGAGACACACCCAAGCUGACUUUCCCACAGGUAGAAAAGUAGGAGCAUGAAGUCAGCAGUCACUGACUGAUAGCUGAAAGCCUGAGUUGUGGCCAGGGUUCAUUACUACUUGUGGUACACAGUUUGAGUGUACAUUUACAGUGACUGGCCCCUGUCUCAUCAGGCAAACUUACUUAUUUUCUUUUUUCUUAAGUCAUAUUUGGAAUAUAAUACACUAAUUAUACAUCUUCUCUUGAAAUUCUUAAAAUACAGCCCGUGAUGAGUCAUAAAGAUGUUGUACACAUAAUGGGUUAGGAUCAUGGAAUUUUAUUUCCACAUAAUAUGUUUCAUAUUUCUAAAAUUUUCAUUCUUACCAUGACCUAGCUCGGUGCAUGGAACCAGUCUAUAUAUGAGUCAUAAAACAUAUCAAUGUGUCUAUAAAAUAAGCAAAAUAUUCUUAAAACAUUUUAUUACUCUCUAAGCAAAAUCACAUGUAUCUAAAUAAAUAUCCUCCAUGUAAUACAGAUUGAACCAGAAAAUGUAAUAACAAUAUAUUUGGACACCAUAUGUAUUAAAUGUAUAUAGCCAGGUUAUUCAAAGCUGUUACCCGCUCUGUAUUCAAAAUUCAUUAUUCUUCAUGCAACUUUACUUUUCUAUGAGUAACAAUUUUAUGUCCAAAUUUCCUCCAAAACUGAAGUUAUCUUAGAUAUUCAUUCCAAGCUCUUGUUUUAUCUACUCACAUUCAUGUGUCUUUCUCUUAAGUGAGUUGUAAUAAACAGAUUUUUCAAACUGAAAAAUGAAGUUGAUGCAAGAGGUUUGACUGGUUCCCAGAAUUUCCAGAGUCUAACUUUUUCAAGAAUCCAUCAAUGCUUAAGAGUAAAGGAACAAUGCUGUGAGUUCAACAAAACUUAAAGUCAAAUAUUUAACUAAAGAUUAGUGAAAAAAGUUUACAAGCAAAGACAGGUACCUAUAAAAGAACUUUCACCUCAAUUUCACUGUACAUUUUUUGUACCCUUGCCUGUGAGAAGCCAUCAGAGAAAGAAAGACUCAGGUUACACAGUUUGACCUCUUUCUAGAACAUAUUCUCAGUUUUACAACUCUUUUCUUUACCCUUAAUUAUUCAAAUAUCUUUGAUUUCAAAAACUAAUAUACAAAUGUAAAGGUCUCAGCAGUCACCCAACUGUUUUACAGCCUAAUCUGCAAUUCCUCUCCUCCCUAUUCUACUUAUUCUGCUGGAUAAAUAUAAGCUAUUGCCAACAUUAUGAAUUUUUUUGAUGUCUCCAUAGUUUUUCUUCUCUGCACAUUCUCUUCCUGUAGUUACCACCAUGUCCUUCAGAACAUGAAAUGUGAUUCCAGGCACAUGCAUACAUGGUGGAGUUCAUCACCUUCAGAACAUUAUCAGUUUUCUGCAAUAGCUUCACAAGACAAUACAUGAUGCAUUUUCUUCAGUACCAUUUCAAAAUAUGCACUGAAAUUUUUGGGGGUCUGUUGUCAGACACAGUAAAGUGAAUUAGCUAUUCUGAGCUAUUUGUUACUCAAACACUUAAGUUGUUUUUCCCCAACUGUUUGUUGUGAAGGCUUUUUCAGAGUCCUCCUGAAUUGUUUGACUGAAAUGAAAUUAUUUUUCCUCUAGAUCACACAAUAUAGAUAGAAGAUGUGAUAUAUUACAACACCUUGGAAAAUAAAUUGAAUUUCAUUUCUUUCAACCCCUAUUUCUCCUUGUAAUCUCAUCACAGCCAACCAUAAUAGUAAAAUUUUAUUUCAUGGGAAAUUAAACAUGAUCUGUUUUACACAAAGAACAAUCUGGGUAGAACUUGCAGGCAUUACCUGAAUUCUGGAGUGGCUGAGUUUCUCUGAUGAUUCCAGUAGAAGUAUGGAACUAAUAAUUUAAAUGUCCAAUGGAUUAAAGUGCUUGUUUCACUGACAUCUAAAGCUGUAAUAGUCAGAUCAGAUGCUUUAAAGUGGUCCCCAAAAUCUGUUGUACAAUUAGAAGGAAUAAGCAAACCAGUUAA